CUAAAUCAUAUUAUAAGUAUCUCCAUUUAAGAGCAUGUGCUUGCGCAUAACUGGGGCCGCUUGGCCCCCCGCGGGCGGCCCUUUUAACCGCGAGCGACAAUU
ensembl:snoRNA